rnacentral:rRNA from 1 species
AACGCUAGCUACAGGCUUAACACAUGCAAGUCGAGGGGCAGCAUUAGGUAGCAAUACUGAGAUGGCGACCGGCGCACGGGUGCGUAACGCGUAUCCAACUUUCCCGUUACUCUGGGAUAGCCUUCCGAAAGGGAGAUUAAUACCGGAUGGUGUUGAAAAUUCGCAUGUUUUUUCAACUAAAGAUUUAUCGGUAACGGAUAGGGAUGCGUGACAUUAGGUAGAUGGCGGGGUAACGGCCCACCAUGCCCACGAUGUCUAGGGGUUCUGAGAGGAAGGUCCCCCACACUGGAACUGAGACACGGUCCAGACUCCUACGGGAGGCAGCAGUGAGGAAUAUUGGUCAAUGGUCGGAAGACUGAACCAGCCAAGUAGCGUGAAGGAUGAAGGUUCUAUGGAUUGUAAACUUCUUUUAUAUAGGAAUAAAACCUCCCACGUGUGGGAGCUUGUAUGUACUAUAUGAAUAAGCAUCGGCUAACUCCGUGCCAGCAGCCGCGGUAAUACGGAGGAUGCGAGCGUUAUCCGGAUUUAUUGGGUUUAAAGGGAGCGUAGACGGGAUGUUAAGUCAGUUGUGAAAGGCUGCGGCUCAACCGCAGCACUGCAGUUGAUACUGGCGUCCUUGAGUGCGGUUGAGGUGUGUGGAAUUCGUGGUGUAGCGGUGAAAUGCUUAGAUAUCACGAAGAACUCCGAUUG